rnacentral:rRNA from 1 species
UAUGAAGGGGGCUAGCGUUGCUCGGAAUUACUGGGCGUAAAGCGCACGUAGGCGGCUUUCUAAGUCGGGGGUGAAAUCCUGGAGCUCAACUCCAGAACUGCCUUCGAUACUGGAAGACUUGAGUCCGGGAGAGGUGAGUGGAACUGCGAGUGUAGAGGUGAAAUUCGUAGAUAUUCGCAAGAACACCAGUGGCGAAGGCGGCUCACUGGCCCGGUACUGACGCUGAGGUGCGAAAGCGUGGGGAGCAAACAGG